rnacentral:rRNA from 1 species
CCUACGGGAGGCAGCAGUGGGGAAUUUUGGACAAUGGGCGAAAGCCUGAUCCAGCAAUGCCGCGUGCAGGAAGAAGGCCUUCGGGUUGUAAACUGCUUUUGUACGGAACGAAACGGUCCGCUUUAAUACAGUGGGCUAAUGACGGUACCGUAAGAAUAAGCACCGGCUAACUACGUGCCAGCAGCCGCGGUAAUACGUAGGGUGCGAGCGUUAAUCGGAAUUACUGGGCGUAAAGCGUGCGCAGGCGGUUAUAUAAGACAGUUGUGAAAUCCCCGGGCUCAACCUGGGAAUUGCAUCUGUGACUGUAUAGCUAGAGUACGGUAGAGGGGGAUGGAAUUCCGCGUGUAGCAGUGAAAUGCGUAGAUAUGCGGAGGAACACCGAUGGCGAAGGCAAUCCCCUGGACCUGUACUGACGCUCAUGCACGAAAGCGUGGGGAGCAAACAGGAUUAGAUACCCUGGUAGUCCACGCCCUAAACGAUGUCAACUGGUUGUUGGGUGCAUUAGUACUCAGUAACGAAGCUAACGCGUGAAGUUGACCGCCUGGGGAGUACGGACCGCAAGGUUGAAACGUACAAGUAGUAGUAGGACGUGAGAGAGACGACGACGACGACGACGGAGGAGGAGG